CCUUCGAUAGCUCAGUUGGUAGAGCGGAGGACUGUAGAAGUAAGGUUGAUAUCCUUAGGUCGCUGGUUCGAAUCCGGCUCGAAGGA